rnacentral:rRNA from 1 species
CAGCAGCCGCGGUAAUACGAAGGGGGCUAGCGUUGCUCGGAAUGACUGGGCGUAAAGGGCGCGUAGGCGGCGAUCAAAGUCAGGCGUGAAAUUCCUGGGCUCAACCUGGGGGCUGCGUUUGAUACUUGAUUGCUAGAGUGGGGAAGAGGGUCGUGGAAUUCCCAGUGUAGAGGUGAAAUUCGUAGAUAUUGGGAAGAACACCGGUGGCGAAGGCGGCGACCUGGUCCUUGACUGACGCUGAGGCGCGAAAGCGUGGGGAGCAAACAGGAUUAGAUACCCGUGUAGUCCCUGUCUCUUAUAC